ensembl:lncRNA
AGGCGGACGCGGCGCUGGCAGCCCCGGAUUCCAGAAGUGAUGCCAAGAUGCAGGUGUCACCAGAGCAAGGAGAAGGGUGCUCGCCAGGGAGUAUCGUACAUCUGCUGAGAUGAGGGCGAGGAUCACGGGGCCCAAGAACAUCCACAACAUCUUCCCCACCUCCUGCAGAAAGAAAUACAGAAGGUUCUCAGAUGAAAAUAGCUCCUCUUUACUUUGGGGAAAAGCUAGAACCCAUUAGCUGAUCAAUUUUACCUGGAGAAGGCCCGUGGGCUGCUGAUCAGCAGGCGUAACCCAGGGAGGCGACACGGACGGGACAGCCCUGCUGUGAGGAGCGCAAACACCGCACACAGCGAUGCUUUCCCACAUCAGAUGAUGAAUGGACGCUGAGGGGGAAACAGCCCUUCUGCAGGCCAGGCGAGCUGGACUGGCGUCCACGCUUACAGGAACAACUUGGAAGGAGGAAAAAUAUUUUCAUGGUUUUCCCAGACAGAUAUUUCGGGACAAGUGAUAAUGGAGACCCAGGAUAAUAGGUAAAUGAGUGAAUGUUUUAAAUUACGGCACUUUGCACUGAGAUUCAAGGCUUGCUGGGUUUUCCCAUAGGAGACAUACGUUGGCAAAAGCAGAGGGAAGCUCUGUCAAGGUGAAAGUGAAUCAACCCCAGACACGUUGGUUCUAAUGGGGAUUGUGUGGGUGAUACUUGUACUGUGGGAUGGCAAUCACUCCUUCCAUUUCCCAGAUGGUUCUGGGUUCUGUUUCCUGGUGUGGCUCUUACCGUGGACAAUUGACUGAUAUGUCCUGUUUUCUCCCUCAUAAAAUGGAAGGCUUAGCUUAAAGCUUCAGCUGAGCCCCAGAAGAAGAGGACAGAGGGCUGGCAAGCAGAGCACGUGCCUUGCAGAGAACUGGAGGCUUCUCUGCCCACUGCCCACAGUCACUGAAAAAGGCAAACACUGGGAGCGUCAUUUUUAUGUCUGCACUUUAGUAGUUGUGUACCUUGUCAUCAUAUUCUUUGGAUUCUUAGGUCAUGUUACAAUAAGAGAUGAUUUGAAAUUCUUGUUUCCUGUUCUGGAACAGGAAAUUGUGCUAAUGCAUUUUUAGCAUAAAUACCGUGAAUGUUACCCAGUUUACUUACAACUGUUUAUUGAAGGCUGCUCAAAGGGUUAGUUAGGUUUAGCCCAUUCUUUCAAUUCAUAGCGUGGAUUAUCCAUGGAUUAAGUCCACUCAGUUGACUGGUUAAGUCAUGUCUAGUUGUUGGUGCUUUUUUUUCCUCAUUAAUAUCUUUAAAACAGAAUGUCCAGAGAAAUGUGCAAAAAAGGUGUAAAGAUAUAAGCAUGGCUGCAGGGCUCUGGGAGGAUGCCCAGGAAGGAGGGGCAGGGACGAGGUGGGAAAGGUGAGUCUACGAAGCCUUUGGACUUGAAGGACUGAGUGUUGUUAUGUUGGGGAGGGGCUCAGUCAUACUUCAUAACAGAUCAACUCAGUGGUAACAGGAAUUAAUAGGAUUAGUCAGAGGGGAAAGGAUUCGGGGCAGUGUGAAAAUAUUUAGAAAACAAGAAAGUGACCAGAGGCUUAAAAGACAAACACACAUAUAAACUUUAAUUGCUAAUAACAUUAAGUGUAUGUUUUCUGAAGUACACUCAACUGCCCUUAAUAGCUUUUUCAUUGAUGAGUUAUUUUAUUUAAAAAAAUUAUUUAUUCUUAAUUGAAGGACAGUUGCUUUAUAGUAUUUUGUUGGUUUCUACCAAACAUCAACAUGAAUCAGCCAAAAUUACUUAGCUGUUAUAUUUAUAAAGAUUAUAGAAAUAGCGAACAAUCAUAGGUUUGUUUUUUUUUUUUUUGAUUUAGAUUUGUGUGAAUUCUGAAAAAAAAAAAAAAAACAACUGUUCAUAUGACUAUUAUUCUAUGCUUUCUCUGUUAAAAAUUUUGUCUUUGGUUCUUCAGAAAUAUUCAUUUUUAGAAGCUGUCAGUAAAUAGAUAUCUUUUCCAUUUUAUAACUAUCUAAUUUAGCCAAUAAAAUCCUUAUCAAAAGAAAAUUUGAAAUGGUUUGGAAAAUGAGCAAAAUGUAGGAUUUUAACAGAGGAAGUGUCCAUUCAGUUACAGUAAUCAUUAUAAAAUUCAGUCAUUUUGGUUUUUUAUGGAUUCAUUCCCAAUUUCCCUUAAAAAACUCUCUCUUGACCUAUUUCUAACUAGCAUUUCCUUUGUGUCCCCUCCAAGUGGUUGCCUGCCAACUACUAUCAUU